GCCAAACAGAGGACAGAAUGGGCCUUGGUAUGGCUAAGCUUAUUCCCUUCUUCAUCUUCCUCACCUGUCUGUUCGGAUAUGGGAAUUCUGAUAGCAAAUUGCCCAAGGAUGAAGCGGAUGCUCUUAGAGCAGUGAUCUCUAAAUUGAGGUUAAUGCCAGCAGCAUACAGUUCCCCCUCUAAUUGUCCAUCGGCUCCAGGUUCUGUCAUCUUAUGCAACUGCAGUUAUCCAGACAACACUUGCCACGUAACCGAGAUAAACACGGAUGGCAUGGACUCAAGCGGUGGAGUUAUUGAUAAUAAUAUAUCUCGCCUCAAGUACCUGAAAGUUUUAAAUCUUGGAAACAGUCAAUUGUCUGGUUACAUACCAUGGACCUUGGGAGACCUGCCACAUCUAGAAACACUAAAUCUGUACAAGAACUUACUCACAGGCUUCAUACCUUCAUCAUUAGGGAACUUGUCAUCCCUCAAAACUCUUAGACUACAUGGGAAUGUGCUGUCAGGUCAAAUUCCUAGUGCAUUGGGCAGCCUCUCUAACCUCGAGAUACUGAGACUAGAACAGAAUCAACUCAGUGGUUCAAUUCCAAUGGAGAUUGGAAACUUGACGAAUCUUAAACAACUGAGAUUGGAUGAGAAUCAACUGGUUGGUGCACUUCCAUCUGAACUUGGAAACUUGGUAGAUCUUUCACAACUUGAUGUGAGUUCUAAUUAUCUCACUGGAGAACUAAGCCAAAGUUAUGCGAAACUUAAAUCUCUCAACUUCUUUGCCGUGGCUGGGAAUUCGUUGACUGGUCCGAUUCCAAAAUUUAUAGCCAGAUGGACAAGUCUCACUAACUUAUAUCUCAUCGGCAAUGACUUUGAAGGAGGGCUGCCUCAUGAAAUUUUUGAUAUGUCAAAUCUUGAAUACUUGUUGGUUAGUGACCUCAGAAAUUCAAGUUUCUCUUUCCCACAGCAAGCAAAUAUGACAAAUAUAUAUACUUUGGUAUUAAGGAAUUGUUCGAUUUCUGGUUAUAUCCCUGAAUAUAUUGGAAAUUGGUCAUCACUGGAAUACCUUGAUUUGAGCUUUAACUACUUAACUGGUCAGAUUCCAGAAUCAUUCAAGAAUCUAAGCUUAAAUGAAAUGUUUCUUACGAGAAAUUUACUCAAUGGAAAAAUUCCUCUGUGGAUCCCCAACAUCGUCCAAUCUAAAGGAGAUUUUUCGGAUAACAAUUUUACAAUGAUGGAUGAAACAAAUCCUGCUCAAAAACUAAAUUUCCGUCCAAACGGGAAUGAAAUACUUAACAUGAGGAAUGAAUAUUGUGGAAGCAAAUCCAAGCACAAUUCCUUGUUUAUAAAUUGUGGUGGUCCACAGUUAGAUUUUGAAGGGGAUAAAUAUGACCAAGAUAAAGCGACAUCGAACUUUUUUGUUAGUCCAAACAGAAAGUGGGCAUAUUCUUGUUCUGGCGAUUCGUCGUUAUCAACUAGCGAUUCAAGUGAUUUCAUUCAAAACGUAGGAACUGCUUCUAAUGAAUCUUUAUAUAAAUCAGCUCGCCUUUGCCCUGUUGCUU
rnacentral:misc_RNA from 1 species